rnacentral:misc_RNA from 1 species
GUAUUGAUUGCGUGUUAUCGCAAAAAUGAGGUCAUUCUACACUUUUUAAAAAGGGGUUUUGUGUGAAAACGCAAGCCCCCUCCUGGAUCGGUUUGAUCCCGGAGGGUGCCCACGCGGUGGUGCACAAAAGGGUGAGAUGGAUUUUUAUGUGAGAGGACACACUCUGGCGUGCACGACUCUUGUGGUAAAAGUCAGCGACAGCCCUCGCAUGCCUCACACAUUUUGUACGAUAAUGAUCCUUCCGCAGGUUCACCUACGGAAA